CGUGCCUAAUACAUGCAAGUCGAGCGGUUCUUAGAAAGCUUGCUUUCUAAGAAUAGCGGCGGACGGGUGAGUAACACGUGGGCAACUACCUAUAAGACUGGGAUAACUUCGGGAAACCGGAGCUAAUACCGGAUAAUAUAAGAGAUUACAUGGUCUUUUAUUGAAAGAUGGCUUCUUGCUAUCACUUAUAGAUGGGCCCGUGGCGCAUUAGCUAGUUGGUGAGGUAAUGGCUCACCAAGGCGACGAUGCGUAGCCGACCUGAGAGGGUGAUCGGCCACACUGGGACUGAGACACGGCCCAGACUCCUACGGGAGGCAGCAGUAGGGAAUCUUCCGCAAUGGACGAAAGUCUGACGGAGCAACGCCGCGUGAGUGAUGAAGGCCUUCGGGUCGUAAAACUCUGUUGUUAGGGAAGAACAAGUACCGUUCGAAUAGGGCGGUACCUUGACGGUACCUAACCAGAAAGCCACGGCUAACUACGUG
rnacentral:rRNA from 1 species